GACGGGACCGCACAAGCGGUGGAUGAUGUGGUUAAUUCGAUGCAACGCGAAAACCUUACCACCUUUGACAUGUACGGAAUCCUUUAGAGAUAGAGGAGUGCUCGAAAGAGAACCGGAACACAGGUGCUGCAUGGCUGUCGUCAGCUCGUGUCGUGAGAUGUUGGGUUAAGUCCCGCAACGAGCGCAACCCUUGUCACUAGUUGCCAUCAUUUGGUUGGGCACUCUAGUGAGACUGCCGGUGACAAACCGGAGGAAAGGUGGGGAUGACGUCAAGUCCUCAUGGCCCUUAUGGGUAGGGCUUCACACGUCAUACAAUGGUCGGUACAGAGGGUUGCCAACCCGCGAGGGGGAGCUAAUCCCACAAAGCCGAUCGUAGUCCGGAUCGCAGUCUGCAACUCGACUGCGUGAAGUCGGAAUCGCUAGUAAUCGUGGAUCAGCAUGUCACGGUGAAUACGUUCCCGGGUCUU
rnacentral:rRNA from 1 species